GGAAACUUGUAAAGGUGAAGUACCCUCCCCCUUGAUAGCGAGUGUCCAACUCAGAGUUUAACAUGCUCAUAUUUUGAAAUUGGAGUUCUAAGCCACACAGUGGUUGUGGUGUAUAACCGUUUAGGUGAGCAGACCCUUUUCUUUUUUCAAUCUCUUUGUGAUUUAUAAGUUCUUCUGUGAUUCUUUAUCAUUUAACAUGGGCUGGAUAUAUUGAAUUUUUGGUUGCUAAGUGAGGAAACAGGGUACUUUCCUGAAAUACCUACCUUUAUUGAGAAAUAAUCAAAAGGUUACUAGCAUUCUGUUUAUACAGCUCUGGGAUAUAUGGAUCACAGUGCUCUUAUUAUUGUGUGCAAUUAGUACUAAUAUAUUAUGUAUAUAAAUUGUCCUAAAUGUAUAUAUAUCAUUCAAGUGUCCCUUUUAGUUUCACCAAGGGUGCAAUGAUAAGAUUCACAUAUGUUUCACAAUUUUUCUUGUUUAAUAUUUAUCUAAUGUAUCUUAUACACUAUGAUGCAUGGAUUGUAUGUAGUUGUAUUCAUAUUCACAUGAAACACACUAUUUAGUGGUUAAGUUAAGUUUUGUGGUCCACAUGUGGCUCAUCAAUCUACAGUUCGCACUGUUUAGUCUGGAUCUUUGAUCACAGGUAUUACCUUUGUCUAGGGGGAGGGUACUUCACCUUUACAAGUUUCCUGCACUUUUUUUGCUAUUUAAAGAUGGUGUUUGGAACUAUGGGGUUAUCCUGAUGAAAGUUUUAUGAUGGACUGAAACGUCGAUUUGUUGUAAC